GAUGGCAUAGCUCAGGGGCAGAGCGUGUGCUUAGCAUGCACGAUUUCCUGGGUUCAAUCCCCAGUCCCUCCA
rnacentral:tRNA from 1 species